GACGAACGCUGGCGGCGUGCUUAACACAUGCAAGUCGAACGGAAAGGCCCUGCUUUUGUGGGGUGCUCGAGUGGCGAACGGGUGAGUAACACGUGAGUAACCUGCCCUUGACUUUGGGAUAACUUCAGGAAACUGGGGCUAAUACCGGAUAGGAGCUCCUGCUGCAUGGUGGGGGUUGGAAAGUUUCGGCGGUUGGGGAUGGACUCGCGGCUUAUCAGCUUGUUGGUGGGGUAGUGGCUUACCAAGGCUUUGACGGGUAGCCGGCCUGAGAGGGUGACCGGCCACAUUGGGACUGAGAUACGGCCCAGACUCCUACGGGAGGCAGCAGUGGGGAAUAUUGCACAAUGGGCGGAAGCCUGAUGCAGCAACGCCGCGUGCGGGAUGACGGCCUUCGGGUUGUAAACCGCUUUCGCCUGUGACGAAGCGUGAGUGACGGUAAUGGGUAAAGAAGCACCGGCUAACUACGUGCCAGCAGCCGCGGUGAUACGUAGGGUGCGAGCGUUGUCCGGAUUUAUUGGGCGUAAAGGGCUCGUAGGUGGUUGAUCGCGUCGGAAGUGUAAUCUUGGGGCUUAACCCUGAGCGUGCUUUCGAUACGGGUUGACUUGAGGAAGGUAGGGGAGAAUGGAAUUCCUGGUGGAGCGGUGGAAUGCGCAGAUAUCAGGAGGAACACCAGUGGCGAAGGCGGUUCUCUGGGCCUUUCCUGACGCUGAGGAGCGAAAGCGUGGGGAGCGAACAGGCUUAGAUACCCUGGUAGUCCACGCUGUAAACGGUGGGUACUAGGUGUGGGGUCCAUUCCACGGGUUCCGUGCCGUAGCUAACGCUUUAAGUACCCCGCCUGGGGAGUACGGCCGCAAGGCUAAAACUCAAAGGAAUUGGCGGGGCCCCGCACAAGCGGCGGAGCAUGCGGAUUAAUUCGAUGCAACGCGUAGAACCUUACCUGGGUUUGACAUGGAUCGGGAGUGCUCAGAGAUGGGUGUGCCUCUUUUGGGGUCGGUUCACAGGUGGUGCAUGGCUGUCGUCAGCUCGUGUCGUGAGAUGUUGGGUUAAGUCCCGCAACGAGCGCAACCCUUGUUCACUGUUGCCAGCACGUUAUGGUGGGGACUCAGUGGAGACCGCCGGGGUCAACUCGGAGGAAGGUGGGGAUGACGUCAAGUCAUCAUGCCCCUUAUGUCCAGGGCUUCACGCAUGCUACAAUGGCUGGUACAGAGAGUGGCGAGCCUGUGAGGGUGAGCGAAUCUCGGAAAGCCGGUCUCAGUUCGGAUUGGGGUCUGCAACUCGACCUCAUGAAGUCGGAGUCGCUGGUAAUCGCAGAUCAGCAACGCUGCGGUGAAUACGUUCCCGGG
rnacentral:rRNA from 1 species